rnacentral:tRNA from 1 species
AAUAAUAAAGUGUUUUAGCAUAUUGAUUUUUGGUGUCGAGGGGGAAUGGACUUCUAUUAUUA